rnacentral:miRNA from 1 species
UGGGUGAGGUGGAAGAGG